UUUUUUUUUUUUUUUUUUUUUUAGUUUAUUUUCCUUUUUCUCUCCCCCACCCCCCGCCACCCCCCGCCCCUUGUGUCUUUUUACUCUGCUGGAGCUUCACACCAGGACUGAGCAGUGAGGUGUGUUACUGCUAGGUCUAUUUAUUCUGCCUGAACUCUCUUCUCAGACGUUUGCGGUUAUAAAACCUGCUUGGCUUAAAUGUAAAUAAAUAAAUAAAAUAAAGAAAAGAAUGCUCUCCAAGAAGGUAAGAGGAUGGGAAUAUUGAGAGAGUGUGUGCAGGGUCAGCGUGUUUGCUCCCACUCUCCUGCUUUGGGACUCCGCCUGGACAGGGUGACUUGGUGGCUGGAUGUGGCUGAGGAAGGAAGAGGCUGAGAAAAUGGGCUAGAAACUUUAGUAUUUGCCAGUUAUUCCCGAUCCUGGAGUGGGCAAUGGUGGCAUCAGCGCGGCAGAUCUAGCAGGAGAUGGAGCGGAGAGGGGAGGGCAGGAACCGGGGCGAGCCGGGACCCUCCGCCCGCCUCGGCACUUGGCGUUUUCAUGUAAAACGACCAAUAGUGAAUUGUUUUAAAUGCGUUUCAUUCCCUUCCCUGCUCUUCAGCCUCCCGCAAAAAAAAGUUGUCAUUAAUUUUAAACCUGCAGAUCUCGAGAACACUUCUCUUUCCGGAGGGCCGGCUAGAUUUUUAAUAUAAAUAUAUAUAUAUAUAUAUUAUUUUUUCCUUUUUGCUAAACGACUUUUAAGUUCCAGUCAGUACUUUCACUUCUUGCUUUAGGAUCCCAGAAGCUAAGGUGUUACUUCACCCAGCUUCACAAAAUAAAAUAAAGAAAUGAAAGUAACUAAGCAGACAAAACAGCAAACUUUCUGUUUGGGGAAACACAUCCUUUGCCGGGGAGCUCUGCCCGGGGCUGGGGCUCCAGCGGUGCCCGGCCGGGCUGGCUUUGCAAGCUCAGGGCGUGCAAAGCAUUAACAGGAGGGUCAAGUCCCUUCGCAGCACUAAAACUUUUGCUGCUGCGUUGUAAAAGGUACCUCCGGUACCUGGCUGACAGGUAAGGGGAGCAGGGGUGGGGGUGGCACAGCCCCGAGCGCCCCGAAACUGCUAGCCCCUUCCCGGAGCGGUACCGAAGUGACUUCAGGUUUCAGCUUAAAAAAAAAAAAAUAAAUAAA